rnacentral:rRNA from 1 species
UACGAAGGGGGCUAGCGUUGUUCGGAUUUACUGGGCGUAAAGCGCACGUAGGCGGAUCGAUCAGUCAGGGGUGAAAUCCCAGAGCUCAACUCUGGAACUGCCUUUGAUACUGUCGAUCUGGAGUAUGGAAGAGGUGAGUGGAAUUCCGAGUGUAGAGGUGAAAUUCGUAGAUAUUCGGAGGAACACCAGUGGUGAAGGCGACUACCUGGCCUGUUCUUGACGCUGAGGCGCGAAAGCUAGGGGAGCAAACGGG